GACGAACGCUGGCGGCGUGCUUAACACAUGCAAGUCGAACGAAGCUUGAUUACGGAUUCUUCGGAUGAAGUAUGAUAUGACUGAGUGGCGGACGGGCGAGUAACGCGUGAGUAACCUGCCCUUCAGAGGGGGAUAGCGUUUGGAAACGAACGGUAAUACCGCAUAAUGUAUUUUGACCGCAUGAUCGAAAUACCAAAGAUUUAUCGCUGAAGGAUGGACUCGCGUCUGAUUAGGUAGUUGGUGGGGUAACGGCCUACCAAGCCGACGAUCAGUAGCCGGACUGAGAGGUUGAUCGGCCACAUUGGGACUGAGACACGGCCCAGACUCCUACGGGAGGCAGCAGUGGGGAAUAUUGCACAAUGGGCGCAAGCCUGAUGCAGCAACGCCGCGUGAAGGAAGACGGUUUUCGGAUUGUAAACUUCUGUUCUUAGUGAAGAAUAAUGACGGUAGCUAAGGAGCAAGCCACGGCUAACUACGU
rnacentral:rRNA from 1 species